rnacentral:rRNA from 1 species
CACGUAGGGGGCAAGCGUUGUCCGGAUUUAUUGGGCGUAAAGAGCUCGUAGGUGGUUCGGUAAGUCAGGUGUGAAACCUCCAGGCUCAACCUGGAGACGCCACUUGAUACUGCUGUGACUGGAGUCCGGUAGGGGAGCGUGGAAUUCCUGGUGUAGCGGUGAAAUGCGCAGAUAUCAGGAGGAACACCAAUAGCGAAGGCAGCUCGCUGGGACGUUACUGACACUGAGGCGCGAAAGCGUGGGGAGCGAACAGG